UCGAGGAUCAUUCGCAAUGCGCGAAAGCGUGACGAUGCGACGCCGCGUGGGGGAUGAAGGCCUUCGGGUUGUAAACCCCUGUCAUGCGGGAGCAAUGUUCUAUCGGUAAUACUGGUAGAGCGUGAUAGUACCGCAAGAGGAAGCCACGGCUAACUCUGUGCCAGCAGCCGCGGUAAUACAGAGGUGGCAAGCGUUGUUCGGAUUUACUGGGCGUAAAGGGUGCGUAGGUGGUUCAGUGUGUCGGGUGUUAAAUUUCGCCGCUUAACGGCGAACGGUCGCUCGAAACUGCUGAACUAGAGUGUAGGAGAGGAAAGCGGAAUUCUUGGUGUAGCGGUGGAAUGCGUUGAUAUCAAGAGGAACACCAGUGGCGAAGGCGGCUUUCUGGAAUACAACUGACACUUAGGCACGAAAGUUGGGGUAGCAAACAGG
rnacentral:rRNA from 1 species